UGCAUGGCUAUCGUCAGUUCGUGCCAUAAGGUGUUGAUUCAAGUCCUGCAACGAGGGCAAUCCUCAUUUUUAGUUGCCAUCGUUGAGUUUAGAACCAUGAGCAAACUGCCGGUGAUAAGCCGAAGGAAGGUGAGGAUGACGUUAAGUCACCAUG
rnacentral:rRNA from 1 species